rnacentral:rRNA from 1 species
CGAGUGAGUAACGCGUGAGGAACCUGCCUCAAAGAGGGGGACAACAGUUGGAAACGACUGCUAAUACCGCAUAAGCCCACGGCUCGGCAUCGAGCAGAGGGAAAAGGAGCAAUCCGCUUUGAGAUGGCCUCGCGUCCGAUUAGCUAGUUGGUGAGGUAACGGCCCACCAAGGCGACGAUCGGUAGCCGGACUGAGAGGUUGAACGGCCACAUUGGGACUGAGACACGGCCCAG